rnacentral:rRNA from 1 species
GCUUGUCUCAAAGAUUAAGCCAUGCAUGUCUAAGUACAAGCCGCUAGUUCGGCGAAACCGCGAAUGGCUCAAUAAAUCAGUUAUGGUUCCUUAGAUCCACUCCAUCCUACUUGGAUAACUGUGGUAAUUCUAGAGCUAAUACAUGCAUUACGCCUGACUUUUCGGAAGGGCAGUAUUUAUUAGAUAACAGACCAUCUCCCCCAAAGGAAAUGUGGUGAAUCAUAGUAACUAAUCGGAUCGCAUGGGCUUUGCCCGCGACAAACCAUUCAAGUUUCUGCCCCAUCAGCUUUCGAUGGUAGUGUAUUGGACUACCAUGGCUAUUACGGGUAACGGAGGAUUAGGGUUCGAUUCCGGAGAGGGAGCCUGAGAAACGGCUACCACAUCUAAGGAAGGCAGCAGG